AUUGAACGCUGGCGGCAGGCCUAACACAUGCAAGUCGAACGAGCGGCGGACGGGUGAGUAAUGUAGGGGGAUCUGCACGAUAGACGGAGAUAACUACUGGAAAAGGUGGCUAAUACCGCAUACUAUCGGAUGCACUCAUAUCGGAUUAGCGAGUAGGUGGGGUAAAGGCACACCUAGGCGACGCUCCCUAGCUGGUCUGAGAGGAUGAUCAGCCACACUGGGACUGAGACACGGCCCAGACUCCUCAGGGAGGCAGCAGUGGGGAAGAUUGCACAAUGGGCGCAAGUCUGAUGCAGACAUGCCGCGUGUAUGAAGAAGGUUUUCGGGUUGUAAAGUACUUUCAGCGUGGAGGCGUUACCCGAAGAAAAAGCACCGGCUAACUCCGUGCCAGCAGCCGCGGUAAUUC
rnacentral:rRNA from 1 species